CUUAGGUUCAAUAUGUUUAUGUGC
rnacentral:siRNA from 1 species